UUUUAAUUGAAGGCUUGUAUGAACGGUCGGACAAAGGAUAAGCUGUCUCUGUUUUUGUUUUUGAACUUGUCUUUCAAGUGAAAAGACUUGAAUAAAUUUAAGGGACGAUAAGACCCUAUAAAUCUUUAUAUUAAUUUAUAUUUAUUUUAAUUUUUAAUGUAAACGUAAAAUAAAUUUAUUUAAUAUUAUAUUGGGGUGAUAAGAAUAAUAAAUAAACUGUUCUAAAUAAAACAAAGUUGUUUGGUUAAAUAAUAGAUCCUUUCUAGAGAUUAAGAGUUUAAGUUACUUUAGGGAUAACAGCGUUAUUUUUUUUGAGAGUUCUAAUCGAAAAAAAAGUUUGCGACCUCGAUGUUGAAUUAAAAUUUCUUCAUAGUGCAGGAGCUAUGAUAGAGAGUCUGUUCGACUUUUAAAAUUUUACGUGAUCU
rnacentral:rRNA from 2 species